UCUAUUGUUCAUGCCACAUGUGCAUACUUAUGAGAGACAUAUGGCCGUACAACUCUGACUCGCCUCAGAUAGUUGAAAAUCUAUUUUGACAGAUACAAGAAGAUAAAUGAUCAUAGUGUUAAGCAUUACCAACAUGUGAUGUCUGAAAUAAUUUUUCAACUUAAGAGUGUUGGUAAUAUUCCCUUCGAUGAGCAGCAAGCAGUGUUCCAGUCUCUUUAUCAGUUGGGAACUUUUGAAUGAUAAUAUAUCUCAUAGUGAUAACACCAAAAGUUUUUCGAUGUUGCCCAUCAUGGGGAGCUUGAAGACGAGUGUCUUGGUACUGCAAAAGCUAU
rnacentral:lncRNA from 1 species